UCUAAAGGACAAACCAAAGGAAUGACAGGGGAAGGGGAUUUAGGGCUAACAGGUGGUCCCCAGACAUAUUGGCUGGAAGAGAGUUCACAGCUAAAGUGUCAUAUGUGGGUGUUACUGUGCUUUCCUCAUCCAUAUUUUCUGUAGGGAGUCAUUCUGGAACAUUCAUAGUUUUAGCUAUGGCCAUUAGAAGUGACUUCAACAGGACCUUCAGAAGAAUAGCCCAUCUCUUUUACUGGUUCCCCAAAUCACUGACCUGCUCAAAGAAUCGGAAAUCCAAGUUGGUGUGGAGCCAAGGUAGAGAGGGUAAAUAUAUAUGUCAUUCUUACUGCCGAGACUUGGUUCAUCUGGAUUAUCCCCCAAAUGGGAAAUUACCAAGCCGCGUGCCAGCUUGUGAAGUGAGACGCUCAAGCGGAAAGCACACUCAGGGCUUAUUUUGGUGUCUUCCCAGAAACUGAUGUUUUGUGGCUGAUGGGUGAGGAGGACAGAUGUUUCAGCUUGGCCUUUUCUCCUUGAUAUUCCUCAUCUGGGCACCAUCCUAGUAUCAAGGGACAAACAAGCUGAACUCAACACCAUCACUUGACCUCAUUUCUGAUUUAUGAAUUCUCCUGCAACCAUGCAAUUGGAGAAGAAGGCAGGCUCUGAAGUGUGUUUUGAAUUUUAAUAUUUUUUCAUACUGGCCUCUUUUUCUGUCAGCCACCAUGUGUGUGUGUGUGUCUGCCUUAACUUGCUGACUAGAAAAUUGAAACAUACUUCUAGCCGGCAGCCAGGAACAAAGGGAAAAAUUGUCUAAAGAGCUAUUUAGCUGCCUGCAUUGCCCUCCACCCCCCCACCCCCGCCAACACCCCCUCACUUAUAUGAACAACCCUCACAAGAAUCUAAGCUGCUUUUGUAUUAAUGUCGGUCAUGGCCUUUCUCACGGGGUUCUGUGAGCACUGAAACAGUAAGGAUUCUGCCAUCUUGGGUGUGUGUGGGGGGGUACUGUUCCGAGGGAGGAGGAGCUUGAGAGUGUCUCCCAUCAUCUGGCAAGCCAGAUUCCAGGUGAAAAGAAGUAUCUAGAAACUGGCUCAAGGUUAUGUCCUUUUCACUCUGUCUGCUUCCUGGCUCCUUGGCAGACAGUCAGGAUGGCUUCAAGGAAUUGGCAGUGACUUCAUCUGAAAGCAUUUUCCUGAAACAUGUAAAUAUUUAUACCUUAGAGGACGCUCUGACUCCAGAAAGGCUGACCCCAGUGGUGCUCUGUGGAGGUAAAGCAGAACCCACAGAACAUGCUCUGGGGCAACAAAGUCUCACCUACCUGUCAAGAGAAUUUUGAAUUCCAGUGACAGGAACGAUCCAUCACAGGAAAGUUCUGUAGGAGUGGAGAAGUGGGGUGGGUAGGAACCAGGCAGUGCCUGAGAGUCAGGUUUUGAGAAGUGAACUUGCUUGUAGAGGAGGCACCCUGGAAAUAUCCUUACAGAUGGCAAUGGGUCUCUUGAGUUUGUCCUGCUCUGUGCUUUCUAAUGGCCCGUUGGGGAUGCUGGGCCCUGAGAGCCCUGGACAGAGAAAAGAGGCGGUCAGGUGUUCAACACAAAGGCUUCAAAGGACUGCGGACCAACCUGGCAUCAGGAGAGGAGAUCAGCCCCCUCAAUCCUGGACUGGCCCCUGGGAAGCCUCGCUAUUACCUGGCAAUGGAGUGGAGGCAGCAAGUUCUUUCUGGAGAUCCACAGGCCAGGCUGAGGCUUCUGCAUGAAAAAGCUUCCUGAUCAUUCAACACUUUCUUAAGACACCUGUGCUUUUUGGCUGCCACGAGGGGGGAAAAAAACCAAGCUCUUGGCAGCCGCCUCUGAUCUGGUAUUAACAGCAUCACACCAGUCACUUCCAGAGAUUUAUGACGCUUUUUUUGUGUGGUUCCCAUGCAGACAUUAAAAUGUAAGAUGAAUUUUG